rnacentral:rRNA from 1 species
GACGAACGCUGGCGGCGUGCUUAACACAUGCAAGUCGUACGGUAAGGCCCUUUCGGGGGUACACGAGUGGCGCACGGGUGAGUAACACGUGAGUAACCUGCCCACAACUUUGGGAUAACGCUAGGAAACUGGUGCUAAUACUGGAUAUGUGCUCCUGCUGCAUGGUGGGGGUUGGAAAGCUCCGGCGGUUGUGGAUGGACUCGCGGCCUAUCAGCUUGUUGGUGGGGUAGUGGCCUACCAAGGCGGCGACGGGUAGCCGGCCUGAGAGGGUGACCGGCCACAUUGGGACUGAGAUACGGCCCAGACCCCUACGGGAGGGCGCAGGGGGGAAUUUUGCAAAAUGGGCGCAAGCCGGAUGCAGCAACGCCGCGGGCGGGAUGACGGCCUUCGGGUUGUAAACCGCUUUCAGCAGGGACGAAGCUUUUUGUGACGGUACCGGCAGAAGAAGCACCGGCUAACUACGU